CGUGGACGGAGCCCGGCUCCCGUAGGAGUCCGGGUGGAGUCUUCCUUGGCGUCGCGGAUGGAGUCCGGGUGGAGUCUUCCUUGGCAUCGCGGACGGAGCCCGGCUCCCGUAGGAGUCCGGGUGGAGCCUUCCUUGGCGUCGCGGAUGGAGCCCGGCUCCCGUAGGAGUCCGGGUGGAGUCUUCCUUGGCGUCGUGGAUGGAGCCCGGCUCCCGUAGGAGUCCGGGUGGAGUUUUCCUUGG
rnacentral:lncRNA from 1 species